CAGCACUAAACUUCUUUGUCUCUACUCUAAGGAAUAGGAAGAAACUCCCUUCCACCAGCCUUCCAGACACCACCUACACUCUUAUAAUUACUAGAUAUAGAGGAUCUUUUGUGUUUAGGAUCCUUCCCUGCCUAGAAAAUAACUUGCAGACAGGAUAAACAGUGAUGCCAAAUGUAGGAGAAAAUGACAGUGUUAAUUUCAGUACUUUGUUCUCCUCCACAUUGAGACCAGCAUUAUACAGAGAUGUUCAGAUUUUCUUUUUCUGACUUUCAUGAGUGAAUAAUGUACCAGUACUCCAGAGUUCAGAUCUGGUAUGCAGAACAGACCUUAAGCAGAAAAUUUUAUACAUCCAAGCAUCCUUUAUAACUGAAAAUUAAGUAUUAAAAGCUCAUGCCCUUUUUUUUUUUUCCCACACCACCCUUCGGCUUGAGGGGUCUUAGUUCCCCAAACGAACAGGGAUCAAACUUCAUGCCUUCCUCAGUGAAAGCACAGAGUCCCAACCACUGGAUCACAAGGGAAUUCCCCUCAUACUAUUCAUUUACUCUUUCUUUCCCUCAUAAAGAAGCAAGAAAUUCCCUAGUGGUCCAAUGGUUAGGACUUGGUGUUUUCACUGCCAGGGCCCAGGUUUAAUCCAAGUUCAGAGAACUAAAAUCCUGCAAGCAGCACAAGAUAGCAGGGGAAAAAAAGUAUAAGCAGUCUGCAUGGUGUAUAAGGCAACAUUUUGAGUAGGGACUAGAUUGAUCUAGAAAUUUACCCAAAAUCUUGUAUCUUCUCAGUGAUUUGAUUGGCAUAAUUUCUGUGAACUUACUUUCCAAUUAGUUCAAGUCUUCUGAAAAUAACAGCAAUUAUUUCCUGAGUAUUUAUUAUAGGUCAGGCACUGAGCUAAAACGUAUAACAAGGGUUAUUCCAUUUAAUCUACACAGAUUUCCUCUUGAGGGAAGUAGAGACGUUGUGCUUACUUUACUGCACUUUGCAGAUACGGUUUUCUACCAUUUUGUGGCAUCCCUGUUUGGAGCAAUCUACAGUGCCAGCAUUCUGUCCCUUUGUAUCCUCACAAUAUUUCAAAUUUUUUCAAUAUUUGUUACAGUGAUUUGUGAUUAGUGAUCAUUGAUGUUACUAUUGUAAUGGUUUGGUGGCACCUCAAACCGUGAAUUUAAUAAAUGUUGUGUGUGUUCUGACCACUCCGGCUGGCUAGCCUUUCUCUGCUACCCUCCACCCGACCA
rnacentral:lncRNA from 1 species